rnacentral:rRNA from 1 species
GACGAACGCUGGCGGCGUGCCUAAUACAUGCAAGUCGAACGAGAGCGACCGGUGCUUGCACUGGUCAAUCUAGUGGCGAACGGGUGAGUAACACGUGGGUAACCUGCCCAUCAGAGGGGGAUAACAUUCGGAAACGGAUGCUAAAACCGCAUAGGUCUUCGAACCGCAUGGUUUGAAGAGGAAAAGAGGCGCAAGCUUCUGCUGAUGGAUGGACCCGCGGUGCAUUAGCUAGUUGGUGAGGUAACGGCUCACCAAGGCCGUGAUGCAUGGCCGACCUGAGAGGGUGAUCGGCCACAUUGGGACUGAGACACGGCCCAAACUCCUACGGGAGGCAGCAGUAGGGAAUCUUCCGCAAUGGACGCAAGUCUGACGGAGCAACGCCGCGUGAGUGAAGAAGGUUUUCGGAUCGUAAAACUCUGUUGUUAGAGAAGAACAAGUGCU